rnacentral:tRNA from 1 species
GCCUUCGAAGCUCACGAGGUGGAGCGCGCCCUUGGUACGGGCGAGGCUGCGGGUUCGAAUCCCGCCGAAGGCUC